rnacentral:rRNA from 1 species
AACCGGGGCUAAUACCGGAUAAUAUCUUCCUUCGCAUGAAGGAAGGUUGAAAGGCGGCGCAAGCUGCCGCUUGCAGAUGGGCCCGCGGCGCAUUAGCUAGUUGGUGAGGUAACGGCUCACCAAGGCGACGAUGCGUAGCCGACCUGAGAGGGUGAUCGGCCACACUGGGACUGAGACACGGCCCAGACUCCUACGGGAGGCAGCAGUAGGGAAUCUUCCGCAAUGGACGAAAGUCUGACGGAGCAACGCCGCGUGAGCGAAGAAGGUCUUCGGAUCGUAAAGCUCUGUUGUCAGGGAAGAACAAGUACCGUUCGAACAGGGCGGUACCUUGACGGUACCUGACCAGAAAGCCACGGCUAACUACGUGCCAGCAGCCGCGGUAAUACGUAGGUGGCAAGCGUUGUCCGGAAUUAUUGGGCGUAAAGCGCGCGCAGGCGGUCUCUUAAGUCUGAUGUSAAAGCCCACGGCUCAACCGUGGAGGGUCAUUGGAAACUGGGAGACUUGAGUGCAGAAGAGGAGAGCGGAAUUCCACGUGUAGCGGUGAAAUGCGUAGAGAUGUGGAGGAACACCAGUGGCGAAGGCGGCUCUYUGGUCUGUAACUGACGCUGARGCGCGAAAGCGUGGGGAGCGAACAGGAUUASAUACCCCUGGUAGUCCACGCCGUAAAACGAUGAGUGCUAAGUGUUAGAGGGCUUCCAACCCUUUAGUGCUGCAGCUAACGCAUUAAGCCUUCCGCCUGGGGAGUACGGCCGCAAGGCUGAAACUCAAAGGAAUUGACGGGGGCCCGCACAAGCGGUGGAGCAUGUGGUUUAAUUCGAAGCAACGCGAAGAACCUUACCAGGUCUUGACAUCCUUCGCUACCUCUAGAGAUAGAGGGUUCCCCUUCGGGGGACGGAGUGACAGGUGGUGCAUGGUUGUCGUCAGCUCGUGUCGUGAGAUGUUGGGUUAAGUCCCGCAACGAGCGCAACCCUUGACCUUAGUUGCCAGCAUUCAGUUGGGCACUAUAAGGUGACUGCCGGUGACAAACCGGAGGAAGGUGGGGAUGACGUCAAAUCAUCUUGCCCCUUAUGACCUGGGCUACACACGUGCUACAAUGGAUGGUACAA